rnacentral:rRNA from 1 species
AUGGCGUCCCCGUCCGCGCCAUCGCCGUCGCCGUCGCGGCCGCAGCGCUCGCCGGACGAGGUCGAGGACAUCAUCCUCCGCAAGAUCCUCCUCGUCUCCCUCGCGGCCCCGUCCGCCCCCAACCCCGCCGUGCCCUACCUCGAGCUCACCGCCGCCGAGCUCCUCUCCGAGUCGCGCCCCCUCCUCGCCCUCCGCGACGCCGCCGAGCGCCUCCUCAUCGACCGCCUCUCCCUCCCGGACGCCUCGCCGCCGCCCUUCGCGUUCCUCGCCGCCGCCUUCGGCCGCGCCGCGGACGAGGCCCGCAAGAUCUCCACGAUCCGCGACCCCGCCCUCCAGGCGCGGCUGCGGGCGUCCAUCGCCCACGUCCGCGGCCUCAUCCUCUCCUACGCGCGCAUCGUCGCGGGGAAUCCGGACACCUUCCCGACGCCCCCCAACGCGCCCCACCCCGCCGCCGAGCUGCUCGUCUUCCUGCUCGCGGAGGCCGCCGACCCGCUCGACUCCGCCCCGGCCCCCGGCGCCCCGCCGCCGCCGGGCUUCCUGGACGAGCUCUUCGGGAACGCGGACUAUGACGCCGUCGAGCCGGUGAUGGGCGAGCUGUACGAGCGCCUGAGGCAGAGCGUCGACAAGGUAUCCGCGCUGGGCGACUUCCAGCGGCCUCUCCGUGUGCUGAAGCGGCUGGUGGGGAUCCCCAACUGCGCCAAGGCUCUGGUACAGCACCCCAAGUGGAUUCCUAAGAAUCAAAUCAUGCUGAUUGGGGAAGGAAGAACCAUGGAGAUCUGCAGCUUGCUUGGGGCCUUCUUCCAUGUCAGUGCUAUUCCCGACCGUGAAUUUGCAAGCCAGCCUGAUGUUGGGCAACAGUGCUUCUCUGAUGCAUCUACACGGCGGCCGGCUGAUUUGCUGUCAUCAUUUGCAGCAAUACAAAAUGUUAUGAAUAGCUUGCAGGAUGGGCUGAGGGAUGUUCUUCUAGUGCUGCUUAAGAAUUCGGAUACUCGAGAAAAGGUCCUCGAAUAUCUGGCAGCAGUGAUAAACACAAAUGCAGGAAGAUCUGGCAUGCGUGUGGACCCUUUGAAAUGCGCAAGUUCGGGUAUGUUUGUCAAUCUCAGUGCUGUCAUGCUCCGUCUAUGCGAGCCUUUUUUGGAUAAAAUGGAGUCUAUGAAGGGCAAGAUUGAUGUCAAGUACCUCUUCUGCAACAAAAGAGUAGAUUUCAAGAGCUUGACCGCUGUAAAUGCCUCUUCAGAAGAAGUCUCAUCAUGGAUAGAGAGCUGGAGCCAGGAUAAUGCCAGUGGGAAGGCAAAUAAAGAGAAUUUCUCAUUUAUUUGCGAAUGUUUUUUCAUGACAGCAAGGGUACUUAACUUGGGAGUGAUGAAAGCUGUGGCAGAUCUUAAGCAUAUCUCUCAGGAACUUGCAAGGUGUGAAGAUGAUUUGGAAGCAAACAAAGCAAUUAGAGAUCAAGGAGGAAGUUCACCACAGCUUGAGCAAGAUAUAACACGCUUGGAGAAGAUAGUUGCAGCCUUAUCCCAAGAACAGUUCUGCUAUGAAUCUCAGAUACUAAGGGACAGUGCUUUUCUUCAGCGUGCACUAUCUUUCUACAGAUUAAUGAUAUUGUGGUCAGUAGACCUAGUUGGGGGAUUUAAGAUGCCUUUGCCAUCAGAAUGCCCCAUGGAAUUUUCUUGCAUACCGGAGCAUUUUCUUGAUGAUGCAAUGGAUUUACUUGCUCUAACCUCUAGAAUUCCAAAAGCUCUGGAGGGAUUCCCACUGGAUAAUUUUCUCAAUUUCAACAUCAUGUUCAUGGCGAGCUCUUCUUACAUUAAAAAUCCUUACCUGAAAGCAAAGAUGGUUGAAGUUUUGAAAAGCUGGAUGCCACAAAGAAGCGGCUUGAAAUCCACAGCCUCGUUGUUUGAGGGGCACCAACUGUGUCUCGAUUAUCUUGUCAAGAAUCUUCUGAAGCUUUAUGUGGAUAUUGAAUUCACUGGCUCCCAUACACAGUUCUUUGACAAAUUUAAUAUUCGACACAACAUUGCUGAGCUUCUUGAGUAUUUAUGGGAUGUUCCCAGUCAUCGAAAUGCUUGGAGACAAAUGGCUAAAGAAGAGGAAAAGGGCGUCUACUUGAAUUUUCUGAACUUCCUUAUCAAUGAUAGCAUCUAUCUUCUUGAUGAAAGUUUGAAAAGGAUUCUCGAGCUAAAGGAAAUAGAGGCUGAAAUGGCUAAUACUGUUGCAUGGGAUAGCAGGCCUGCUCAAGAAAGAGAGGAGCGGUUGCGCGCGUUUCAUCAGUCAGAGAAUAUUGCUCGAUUUGAUAUGAAGCUCGCAAAUGAGGAUGUUGGGAUGCUUGCUUUCACGUCAGAACAAAUUCCAGCACCUUUGCUUCUUCCAGAAAUGGUGGAAAGGGUGGCAAGCAUGUUAAAUUACUUCCUCUUGCAGCUUGCUGGUCCCCAGAGGAAAUCGUUGACUGUAAAAGAUCCAGAGAAGUAUGAGUUCAAACCAAAGCAGCUAUUGAAACAGAUUGCUACCAUCUAUGUCCACAUUGCAAGGGGUGAUAAGGAAGCUGUCUUCCCAGCUGCAAUCUCAAAAGACGGAAGGUCAUACAGUGAGCAGUUGUUUGCUAGCGCAACUAAUAUUUUGUGGAAGAUUGGGGUAGAUCCCCAAAUCAUACAGGAGUUUAUGCAACUUGCAGGUAAAGCAAAAGCUGCUGCUGCUGAGGCCAUGGAUGCUGAGGCUAUCCUUGGGGACAUACCAGACGAAUUUCUUGAUCCGAUCCAGUAUACUCUGAUGAAUGAUCCUGUGAUACUACCAUCAUCGCGGGUCACAGUAGACCGACCAGUUAUUGUUCGGCAUUUGCUCAGUGACAGUACUGAUCCGUUCAACCGCUCCCAGCUCACUCAAGACAUGUUGAUACCAGAUACAGAUCUCAAGUUGCGCAUUGAAGAAUUUGUCAGGUCCCAGCAGUCGAGGAAGCGGAGGGCUGUCGACGCUGAGACCGGGGAGCCUGAUGGUGCUGCUGAUAUGGUGGAGUGA